UCGUACAACUGAGGUGCGAGGGCUGUCGCUGACCUUGUGUCGUGCACGCCCGAGUGCUCUCAAACAUCCAUCUCACCCCUAUGUGCACCACCGCGUGGGUCCCCUUUUGGCUCGUUCAGAGGGGGGCUCGCGUUUUCACACAAACUCGAAGCAGUGUAGAAUGUCUUUUUAUUUUGCGAUGACACGCAAUCAAUA
rnacentral:misc_RNA from 1 species